rnacentral:rRNA from 1 species
ACGGGUGAGUAACACGUAGGCAACCUGCCCCUCAGACUGGGAUAACUACCGGAAACGGUAGCUAAUACCGGAUAAUCUCUUCCUUCUCCUGAAGGAAGAAUGAAAGGCGGAGCAAUCUGCCACUUGGGGAUGGGCCUGCGGCGCAUUAGCUAGUUGGCGGGGUAACGGCCCACCAAGGCGACGAUGCGUAGCCGACCUGAGAGGGUGAACGGCCACACUGGGACUGAGACACGGCCCAGACUCCUACGGGAGGCAGCAGUAGGGAAUCUUCCGCGAUGGGCGCAAGCCUGACGGAGCAACGCCGCGUGAGUGAUGAAGGUUUUCGGAUCGUAAAGCUCUGUUGCCAGGGAAGAACGUCCGGUAGAGUAACUGCUGCCGGAGUGACGGUACCUGAGAAGAAAGCCCCGGCUAACUACGUGCCAGCAGCCGCGGUAAUACGUAGGGGGCAAGCGUUGUCCGGAAUUAUUGGGCGUAAAGCGCGCGCAGGCGGCUAUUUAAGUCUGGUGUUUAAACCUUGGGCUCAACCUGGGGUCGCACUGGAAACUGGGUGGCUUGAGUACAGAAGAGGAAAGUGGAA